rnacentral:rRNA from 1 species
CAAAAGCGUAUAUUAAAGUUGUUGCAGUUAAAAAGCUCGUAGUUGAACCUUGGGCUUGGCUGGCCGGUCCAUCUUUUUUGAUGCGUACUGGACCCAGCCGAGCCUUUCCUUCUGGCUAGCCUUUUGGCGAACCAGGACUUUUACUUUGAAAAAAUUAGAGUGUUCAAAGCAGGCCUUUGCUCGAAUAUAUUAGCAUGGAAUAAUAGAAUAGGACGUUAUGGUUCUAUUUUGUUGGUUUCUAGGACCAUCGUAAUGAUUAAUAGGGACGGUCGGGGGUAUCAGUAUCCAGUUGUCAGAGGUGAAAUUCUUGGAUUUACUGAAGACUAACUACUGCGAAAGCAUUUACCAAGGACGUUUUCAUUAA